rnacentral:lncRNA from 1 species
AAUAAUUAUAUGCCUAUGUGUAGAUUUUUUUGAUUAAGGCUAGCUGGAGUCCUAUAUUCCUCACUUAUCUGUAUGUCAAGUUCUUUUCCCCUCCUUGGGAAGUUUUCUGCCAUCACUUCUAUGGACAGUUUUUUUUAUGUCAUCUGCACUCUCUCCUGUUUCUUCACUGACUCCGAUCAGUCAUAUGUUAUUCUUCUUUGCAUCGUCUAGCAGCUGCUGGAUUGAUUUCUCAUGGUCCCUUACUAUUUUAGAGCAAUAUUUCUUUUCCUGGUCACUAAUUGCAAUCUUAUCUUCUAUAUCUGAAAUUCUGUCCUCACAUUGGCUCAUUCUACUGCAUAAGCUUUCAAUGGAGUUUUUAAUCUCCUGGAAAUCUGUUUGUGUCUGUUUUAUGGAUUCCAUUUGUUUCCUAUGUUGGGAUUCCAUCAUGUCCUCAGUUCCUCUAUUUUUUUAUCUGUGUCUUCUCUAGAUUUAUUAAUCAUGUCUUGCACUAUGGGCACAAUCUCUGCUGUUAUCUGAGAAAUUAUUUCUAAUUUUAUUUUUUCCAGAUCCUCUUUUGUUGCCACUUCAGGGAGUCCAGGUGGUUGCCUAUCAGAGUGUUCCAUCCCAUUUCUGUUUGGGGUUGCUUUAGGUGCUCUGGGAGUCUGGUUUUGAGACUUGUUUAUGUGUCUUCUCAUUUUGACAGGGGUGGGGGUGUUGAUGGUGCCUGUACGGUUCACCUCCUGUGUGCUGAGGGGGGUGGUAUGGCAGCCCAGAAGCCUUCUCCUUGGCACUGGGAGCAGUUCACCUCCUGUGUGUUGGGGGAAGGAGUGGUACGGCGGCCCGGAAGCCUCUUCCUGGGCGCUGGGAGUGGCUCACCUCCUGUGCACUCAAAGUUGAGGAUUCUUUGCAAGAGAGUCUUGCCAUGCCCAGAAUCCAAGCACUAUAACUUGGUAGUGGGCAGAGCUACCUCAUCAGAUGUUUUUCUUGUCAGAGAGCAUACUCUUUCACCCCUAAGGCAACUAAAAGCCCAGAUACUACACAAAGCCUUGAGAAAUGUGUGCUUUUUUGGUCUUUGUAGCAUUUGGGAUUCUGACCACAUAUUUAUUGGAGAAGAGCUUUCUCUUUCAACUGAAGAUCUCUUCAAUCUCUUAAACUUUGCCAAGAAUAAUAGUGUUUCUGAAGGAGGACAGUCCAACAAUAUUAUUACUUCACUCUGGUCAAGGAAUCUUCCCAUUCAAAAACAAACAUGUUCUGGAAGUCAGGGCCCAAGGAAAUACAAAAAAAAGUUGCAUCUUUGGGUCCACUACCAUCAUCUUAGGACAAGGUGAUAAGUAAGGUACAAGUGUUGGGCAUCAAUGGAUGGAUGGCUGUCCCUGUCUGUUUAAUUUUCCUUAAAUUCUGCAUAAAGACUCCCUCCCAUGUGUCUGGCUUUUGCAGUGUUGAAUUUAGGCUCUUACAUGGGCCUAGCAAGAACCAAUGAGUAUAUAUUCCAUAAGGCAGUAAAUCAAGGCUGAGUACUUCACAUAUCUGUGAAAUAGGUGAUGGCUCAACCUUUGGAUUUUUCAUCCAAAAUGGAUUUCACCAUGGACAGACCUGGUGUCCUUGCUUGUCCCUCCCCUCUAUCGCAACGUACAUCCAGUUUCAUCUCUUUGGAGAUUUCUCUGGGAUGUCGUGCAAGCUUCUGAUUUGGGCAGUUGUUGGUGAUGAUUCAUGCCAGGCAUCCACACAGUGGAGCAUCUUCUCAUGAUUUUCUGGGUAUAUUUCCUUUUUUUUAGUGCAACAUGGGCAAGUUAGUGAGACCCUGUAUACAAAUUAAACACUUAAAAAAGACAGGAAAAGUAGAUCAGUGUGAAGAACGUGGCUUCAAUCUCCAGUAGAGGUGGUAGGGGGGAGGGGAGAUACAAACAAAACUAACAAGAGUGAAGCAAAGUGUAAUGCACAUACAAAACAUGUGCGGCAAGCCCAAGUGGCCAGCUUGAUGUGUACUCACAAUGUGCACACACUCUGCCACCCAGGUGUUACAAGGGGCCUUCACAAUACCCCAGGAGCUUCUGUUGGGUCUCUUAGUCUUUGUUUUCAACCUUUUUAUUUUUCAUUUAAUUAUUGUGAUUACCAGUGAUAGGAUAUUAUUAUUCUGGUAAUGCUGGAGAUUGAACCCAGGGCCUUGCUCACACUCAUGUUCCACCACUGACCUAAAAACUAGCCUGGGAGGAUUUUAAAAACUUCUUUGAUGGAUUCUGCACUCUGGCUUCCAAGAUCCUGGGCAUCCCUUCACAGCCAAAUUCUGUGGGCUUUUUUCAGCCUUGUGGCAUGUGGUCUCACACACUUAGCGUUCUAGAAACUUCCCUGUCUGGCCUCUGUAACUGCCUGUCUGUGUUCCUCCAGGUCCUCUCCACUUUCUGUUUCCUUCUUCUGGACAUGUGUGUGGACAGGGUGUUCCCCUUGGUCCGGGCUUUAGCCUCCUCUUCAAGCUGUGACUGGUCCUGGUGUGUGCUGACCCUAUGCCCCUCUCCCAGCUCCAUACCUCUCUCCAGAGCUACACACUUGUGCCAACUUCCACUGGACUUCCCACUGGGAUCCCUCGGGGCAUGUCAUCCCCAACAGCCCCAGCUCUGUCUCAUCAUCCCUCCUGCCCAAGGAUGUUUCAGUCACAUUCUCUGUCAGCUUAAAGAUCAACAUCACCUGCAUGGACGCUUCACCCAAAACCCUGGCAACAUCGGAGAUGUCUCCUCUCAGAUGGUAGCAUUCCAUCUCCUUAGCAUCCCUGGAACCUGUCCUCUUUCAUACCUCACUUUUCCCUGCCUAAAUCUUCAUCAUCUUUUUCUUGAAUAGCUUAUUUCUCAUUCAUAUGACUGUUUAGCAGCAUAAUUAAUUGUAAGCAGAUUGAAGCCAUGUCCUCAAGUAUAAAGAGUGAGAUGAAAGAAUAUGAUUGGGGAAGAGGGUUCCCUGUAGGGAAGACUUCUCUGAAGAGGCCUCUCUGAGGCCUGAAGCAGGAGUGAGCUAAACCUCAAAACCUUUAGACAGCAGAUUCAUGGUUCACUGUGUGGUCUUCAGGUCUUCAAGCUGCCACUCCCUGUAAAUAUUGAGUACUUUAAUCUCAUCAAAUGCUUAAGACUCAAAAACAAAAGCCAUAUGAUAUUUCCUUCCUGUCAAUGUACCUGAUUCCAUCUGUUAAGAAAAGAUUAUUUAAUAAUAUUAGUUAAAGUACAGUAAGACUUUACCCAGGACCUUUGAGACAGGCAUAGGGACCACUGAUGCAGGGUCUUACUGUGGGGACAGCCGAGGCUCAUCUCUGAGUGCAGCUUGGGCAUAGGGGAUUCACAGCCAAGAGCAGGUGGGGUCAGCGGAUGGAAAGUCACUUUGGAGAUUCUGUAACCUGUGACAAGCCUCUUCCUGUGGGCAGGCCAGAGUGACCAGGCUUCACUGGGGGACCUGAUGGAACGUGAGGGGAGAUCCGAUCCAAGGGUGGAGAGGGCCUCGCUUUGUAGUCUAGGAUGACCUUGACCUUCUGGUGAUUCUCCUGCCUCAGCCUCCCAAGUGUUGGGGUCACAGGUAUGUGCCACCACUAAUGUUCCCUUUGUGAUCUGGCAUAUUAACAAGUUCUGUAAAUGUUCCACAGAAACAUGAGAAAAAAUGUGAGUAAGCCCUCUUUGUACCGUACAGAGUAAGUCCUAUGUCUACAAUAACUGGGAUCAGAACUGAUUCGGAUAUUGAAUUUUUAUAGAUAAACAGAGAUAGGUAGACAAAGAGAUAGAAAAUCUUGGGGAUGGGACACAAGUCUAAAUAUGAAAUUCAUUGAUGUUUCCUAUACACUUUGUGCAAACAGCCCAAAGGUAACUUUAUACAAUACUUUAAAUAAUUUUGUGCAUAAGAGAAAGUUUCAUGCAUCAUAUUGGCACUGCAAAAGCUUUCUCCUUUGGCAACUUUAGAUUUCUGACACUAUGGGCAGGUACUGCUUUGUGUAUUUUGAUGUUCUGUUAUCCAAUACUGUACAUAAGAUUGUGUGAUAAUUAAAUCAUUGUGAAUGAUAUCGCUUAUCCAUCUAAAAUAAUCUUUUUAUCACAAUAAUCACCUGCUUUUGUUGUAGAUAGCAGUUAGACAGGGCUGGCCCUUGAGGGAGUCAAUACAGAAGAAAUGAGGCACAUUUACUGAAGGCCAGGAUUCAAAAAAGAGGAGCUACUGUACUUUAAUACUUUUCCUAGUCAUGAACAGCAGUGAUUGAUAUUCUAAGUAGGCAUCAAUCACCUUGGGUGGGGACCAAAACCUCCCUUAGCACAUUCCUUCCCAAAAUCCUUGUUUGGCCCGUGUAUGCUUGCUACAUGACUUGCUUCCCCAUUUGAUCCCCCUUUAGUCAAUAUGAUCUAGUGACUAUACUUAUAAUCAUAUUGAUUGACCCUCAUUUUGCCCCACCUCAUUCCACCUUGUGUUUUCCCAUUGGAUCAAUAUUACCUAAGCGACUAUACUUUUCAUCUUAUUAGUUGACUACAGUUUUGUCCCACCUUGAACCUGCCUCCCCUUAUGGCUUUGCUCAAAACACUCUUGAGAAGCAGGGUCAGUGGGCAACCCACUUUUGGGGUGUCCUCUCCUGACCCUCUCAGGCAGGAGCUGUCUUUCUCCCAAUGAAUAGUCCCUACUCUUAACCUCUGUUGUUUCUAGAAUUCAUUCUUUGAUUUUGGAGAACACAAACUUGGCAUUUCAGCAGAUGUCUAGCAGGUUGGGAGUUAUAAUAUUUCCGUUAUUUGGAGGUCCACGUAGCAUACAGCCUAUAUCACUUUGUCAGAUAGUUUUAAUACCACUUACCACCUUGCAGUCAGGGUUUGCAAAGAAAUAGAUUUUAUACAGGACACAUAAUUUAUAGGAUUAUUUUAUAAUAUUCCCCCAAAAAGUCAAAUACGGAGGAGCGCAAAAGAUCUGUCCACACACUAGAGACCUAAAGAAUACAGCUGAGGGCCUGGAUCCCACAGCAGUGUCCCCCUCGAGUCCAGCCAGAGCUCUAGAGUCCACGGCAGUGUCUCAUGCAAGUCCAUAUCGAGGAUCUGCAUCAGGAAGGCCCAACGGCCAGUCGUGGAAGCCAGAAAGUCUGCACCGUGAGGUGAAGGGUCUAUGCGACCAGGCUGAGGGAUCUGCACUGGAGCCCUGACGUGAUGCUCAGGGUGAGGACCCGAGCUCCUCAGAUGAUAACAGCUGAGUUCGUAUCAGGAAAACCAGCCACGGAAAGCUUCUCCAGAAAAAUCAACAGUAUACAGUAUUCCCCUCCAGUUCUCCUUCUACGCACUGGCAACAAUCCUCAGGUGGGUCUUCCAACCCAGAGGCACACUGACUCAGUUCGGCUGCUUCCAAGUUGACUAUUAGUUCACCACACACCUUUUAAAAAAUAUUUUGCCCCUGAUAUAUUUUUCUCUUUUUUAUUUUUAGCUUUAUUUUGUGUGGGUUUCUAAUAAUAAUUCAGGAGACAUUUUUAUUUUUUAAACGAUUAUUUAAAACUUCGCAAUCUAGUAACUGUUUAACUUAUUCACGUGUCAUGCUUUUUCCAAAUUUGUAUCAGAGUAUUUUUCCCCUCUCAUUCUUAUACUUUCCUGCUAUUUUUAUUUUUUUCUUUUGUUAAUUUGAAAUAGUUUCUUUGCUUUUUAUCUUAGUGAUUUGGAAUCUACUCAAGAGAUGUGAUUCUACAAUAUCUCGUUAUUGUUUUUUAAUAUAUUGACCUCUAUUUUCCAAGAAUAAAACAGUAUCGUUUUGAAAUGACAGACCACGUUUUAAAGCAACGUUUGUUAGCUUACACUUGCUGGGUGGUCUGUGUGUAAAUCAAUUUUGUUCUGGUUCAGUUUAUGAAAGCAGGAGCUCGGGAUAGGAGGAGCUGAGCAGCAGAGGGCUGCGUGCACACCUCUUCGUGGUCCUCGCCGGCGUGGGGACACUGUCCUGUCCCGGCCUCACCUCGGUCCGCCCAGCCCGGUCUGUGCAGAGAGCGAUCGCUGCCGGCUGAGGCGCCCUCUCCAGGAGGUCAAAGGGAGCGGGACGGAAGCGCGCUCGGCCUGCGCAGUGUGCAAAUGUGUUCCCUGGGUGCGCAGGAGCCAGCGGCGCUGUUCUGCUUGUCUUUAGACUGCAAAAGUCAAGCUCAGGAGGGCCACAGCUGUCCAAGGUCUCAGGCUAGCCCGGCCCCCCGGACGAACCCCAGAGCCAGAGGCACAGCAGAGGCCUGACGCCGUGCCCAGGGCUACUCAACUGCCCCCUGUACGGAUUCCAGUGCGACUAACACCCGCCUGGGGAGAUCUGUCACUCCGCGAGCUCUGCACCCCCGCAGGGCCUGGGGCAGCACCGAGCCCGCCAUCGUCCUUCUGGUUCGGACGCGUUGCUCCAUUUGUCCAGCAGGUGGCGCCACACAACCGCCGGAAUCCGUGGCUUCCCAGCUCACUUUGAGAAUUAAGAGCAAAAAUCAAAGGAAAGAAGGGAAAGGAAAAAAUGACGAGAAGUGGAAAAAAUGGAAAUAAAGUCUUUGUAAAUAGGGAAGGGUGGAGGGUGUGAAUGGAGGGCUAGGAAUGGGGAAAAAAUAAGAACCAAGAUGCAUUAUGUAAAGGUACAGU